rnacentral:rRNA from 1 species
AAUGAACACUGGCGGCAGGCCUAACACAUGCAAGUCGAACGAGCGGCGGAGUGGUGAGUAAUGUCUGGGCACCUGGCUGAUGUAGGGGGAUAACUGCUGUAAACGUUAGCUACUACCGCUUACCCUCAGAUGUGCCCUGAUGGGAUUAGCUAGUCGGUGGGGUAAUGGCUAACCUAGGCGACGAUGCCUAGCUGGUCCGAGAGGCUGAUCGGCCACACUGGAACUGAGACACGGCCCAGACUCCUACGGGAGGCAGCAGUGGGGAAUAUUGCGCAAUGGGCGCAAGCCUGAUCCAGCCAUGCCGCGUGUAUGAAGAAGGCCUUCGGGUUGUAAAGUACUGUCGUCGGGGAGGCGGUACCUACAGAGAAAGCACCGGCUAACUCCGUGCCAGCAGCCGCGGUAAUUC